AAAGUCAGGUGAUUGAGCAGCUGAUUUUUGUGACAAAAUUGGCGGGAAAUUUUUAAUAACUUUGAGCGCUUGGCAAAUCUAAACUAAACAAUAUUUUUCUAUUAUUUAAAAUGGAUAUUAAAGUUGGAGGAAAUCAAAAAGCUGACAAAAGUGUUCGUCUUCUGUAGAGGAAAAAAAGGUGUUCUGCGUAUUUGUGCGUUGUUUAAUUUUGGUUUGCGGCUUUUUGCGGCUUUUCCGAUGCUUUAAUUAUUUAGAUGUGCUUGAAUUCUGUCACGCCACGUUGCUGGACGUGUGGAUGGACAGCGGGCGCCACUCUUCCGCGCUGGUUGAACUUGUAUUUGGUCAAAUAGAUGAAUGUACACUGAGUGACGACAAAAAAGAGAGCAAU